rnacentral:rRNA from 1 species
UACAGAGGCCUCGAGCGUUAGGCGGAAUCACUGGGCUUAAAGCGUGUGUAGGCGGAGUUCUAAGUACCUUGUGAAAUCCCACGGCUCAACCGUGGAACUGCUUGGUAUACUGGUUCUCUUGAGGUACCUAGGGGCGAGCGGAACAAGUGGUGGAGCGGUGAAAUGCGUAGAUAUCACUUGGAACGCCAACGGUGAAAACAGCUCGCUGGGGGUAUCCUGACGCUGAGGCGCGAAAGCCAGGGGAGCGAACGGG